rnacentral:lncRNA from 1 species
UAGGGGAACUUGGAGGGCAUCAUUGGAAUAUCGACAUUCUGAAGAACAGAGGGUCCGGUGAUCAAUCAGGCCUCGUGUUCGUCCAAUAUGCAUGUGUUAUAUACAAAAAAACUGUUGAUCCUAUAUAACUUCUCUAGCAACCGAUGUGUAAACCAUGUUAGACUAACACAAAUCACACGUGAAAAAUAGUUCUUUUGAAAUUUACUAGUUUCUUAUUGGAACGUGUAUACUUAUGUUCAGUGGCGAAUCUACAGGGCAGGCUUUAGCAGGCUCGAGCCUGCCCUCCAGCGCUGCCAAUUCUUUUUUUUUUCUACUACACUUAAGGCCCAGCCCAGCCAAACGCCCCCACACCACUUGUUCGCUGGCUCGCUCGCACGAGGCCGUUGCUGCUUUCCAUCCUCCCAGAGAGCACGCACGAGGCUGCUACCAUUACUAUAUUAUUAUAGUUCGAACCAUGGCAAUUUUGCUAAAGUCUAACAUUUGAUAAGUUUCAAAUAAUUCCAAAAAAUUACAGUAAAUACUAUGUGUGCCCAGUAGUAUCUGGGAAAUUCUGAGGUAAUUUGGGUUGCAAGAUUUUGAGAUAUUGGCUAUUUUGCUAAACAUAACCAAUUUUCGGUUCAAAAUUUUAUAUUUUGAAAAAAUUCUGAAACAAUUCUAGUGCAUAGUACAGUACAUGUUUUCAGUAGUAUUCUGGUAAAUUUUGACCUUUGAAAAAAAGAAUUGAGAGUCAGUGUUUUUUUUCACACCGUUACUUUGAGCCCGCCCUCAAUUUUCUUCCAAGAUAUUGUGGUGAAAGAAAACUAUAAAAACAUGUAAUUGUGCAUCUCUUAAAUAAAUGUUAAUUAAUAAUAAAUCAAAUCUAUUGAAUGACACAUAAUUUAUAAGCCCGUAUAUCUUGUACAAUUCGAUCUAAUUUUUAUUUUUAUUUUCAGGAAACAUGCACAACUCGAUGAUAAGCACCAUGCUAUUUCUUUGAGUGAAGAAUAUUAGAACAGCACGUAAAACACAAACUCUUUAAGCAUGAGCACCUUCUCAACAGUACAGAGUGAUACCAAGAAUUAAAGAAGGGACCACGACAAUUAUGCCCACAACUAUUGGAUGAAGAAUUAUGAAAUUGAAUUUGGGACUUUAGAUUGCUCUUAUGGAAUUCCCGC